GUAGGUGAACCUGCGGAAGGAUCAUUAACACUAUUAAAAAAUCCAACGUGUCUUAAACAUCCGUUUUAAGACAUAAACCCCCUUUUUUUUUAAAAGCGAACUAAAACGAAGGAUUUAUUUCUCUUCGUUUCUUUUUUUUUCUCUUUUACCACAAACCCAAUUGAAUUUUUUAGACUGAAACUUUUUUUCUUCUGGAAACAGAGAAAAAUAAAAAACAAAAUGCUAUACAACUCUCAACAACGGAUCUCUUGGUUCUG
rnacentral:misc_RNA from 1 species